UGGCUGUGCAGAUAGUAAGGCUGUUUUGCAGUGCGUACUUGUGCUUUAGAAGGAGGAGUUGGACAGACAGGAUUGAUUUCCUGCAUCGUUUGGUGAGACAUGGAACAGGAACAAGUUUUGUGGAAAAAAUUCUAUGUCUGGUUGGCGGGAAGAACAAAUGGAGCUCAUUCUGAAACUGUUCAAAAACUCAAAGACAUCGGCCACACUGAGGUGGACAGACCUGAAGAUUGUGACUACCUUCUAGGGUUUUGUCCUGUUGUUUCACGAGUUGGAACAGACAUCACAGAUGCUCUCAACAUCAAACCUUCGGGUAAACCAGUGAUUCUGGUAGUGAUGCAUCACACUUUUGAUCCUCGUCAUGUUGUAGCCAAAAGCAGCAGACAGGUCAACGACCCAGAUGUCUGCCUCACUGUGGAUUGUCUCUUUUAUGAGCGCAAACUCCUUAAAUGCAGUCUCAAUGAGAUCAUGUGGGCUGACAUCAAGACUCAUUUUGGAGUUACUCAGGAUCCUGACUUGCUGACCCAGAUAGUCAUUUGGAUAAAGAAUCAUCCACUGAUUGUAGCACUCAUAUUUGUGUUCAUAAUAGUCAUCAUUCUACUAGUGACACUUUCAUAAGCAAACAAGGUCGACGAUGCUCAUGCUGGAGGCACUAACAAUUCAUUGGAGAGACUGGGCACUAACGAGUCAUUGGAGGGACCGAUUAACAUGUUUUGAUCUCUGGCUCCAAAUCGAUAUAUGCUUGGGUAAGAUAGUGAGUCCUGAGUUGACCUUGAUACAUGUUUGUGAGUCAUAGAAAAAAAAAAUGCUAUUAAAUAAAUGUGUUCUACUAUUGCUGCAGCUUGAUUGCAGUUUUGGAGGCUGAUGUAGAUAAUUUUGUCAUGGAUCUCUUUAUUCUUCUUCUUAAUUGAAUUAUUAAUCAUUUCCACCACACAUUGCUAUAAGAAUUUUGAAAAAUGUUCAUAUUAAGAUAUGAGUUUGCAAGCAGCUUAAUGCUGUUCAAGUUUAUGAGGUUAUAAAUACAAAUAAAACAAUUGUGUGAAAUAAUUCUGCUGAAUGUAUUAUCAUAAUUAUGUUCAUGAAGAAUAAAUACAAAUCUGUCCUGUCUUUGUUGCUUCUCUGUAUAACUUUGUCUUAUUCAUCUUAUCUUAUUGACCUUUUACUUAUUACUAAAAACAUGAUUUACUAAUAAAUAAUGAUAUAUACAGUGAUGUGAAAAAGUUUUUUGCCUCGUUCCUGAUUUCCCAUUUUUUGUCACACUUAAAUGAGAUCAUCAAACAAGUUUAAACAAAGGUAACACAAGUAAGAAAACAAUCUAAAUGUAGGUGUUUAUUAUUAAAGGGGAAAAAAUGUAAUCCUACAUGACCUUGUGCGUGAGCCUAAGUGAGCCUAAGCCUAAUAACUGGUUGGGCCACCCUUAGCAGCAACAGUCUUUUAGAGCACUGCAAUCAAGCAUUUGAGAGUCUUUUAGAGCACCGUGUGGGAACUUUGUCUGACUCAUCUUUGCAGAAUUGAUGUAAUUCAGCCACACUGGAGGGUUUUCAAGGAUGAAGCACUGAUUUACUAAUCAGUGUUGAUGUUAUUAAAAU
ensembl:lncRNA